AGUCGAGCGGCAGCGCGGGGCAACCUGGCGGCGAGCGGCGAACGGGUGAGUAAUACAUCGGAACGUGCCCAGACGUGGGGGAUAACUACUCGAAAGAGUGGCUAAUACCGCAUACGAUCUAAGGAUGAAAGCGGGGGAUCGCAAGACCUCGCGCGUUUGGAGCGGCCGAUGGCAGAUUAGGUAGUUGGUGGGGUAAAGGCUUACCAAGCCCGCGAUCUGUAGCUGGUCUGAGAGGAUGAUCAGCCACACUGGGACUGAGACACGGCCCAGACUCCUACGGGAGGCAGCAGUGGGGAAUUUUGGACAAUGGGCGAAAGCCUGAUCCAGCCAUUCCGCGUGCAGGAUGAAGGCCCUCGGGUUGUAAACUGCUUUUGUACAGAACGAAAAAGCUCUUUCUAAUACAGAGAGUCCAUGACGGUACUGUAAGAAUAAGCACCGGCUAACUACGUGCC
rnacentral:rRNA from 1 species